rnacentral:hammerhead_ribozyme from 1 species
AUCCAGAUGACGAGUCUCAAAUGGGGCGAAAUGCAAAUCCUGGAU